rnacentral:rRNA from 1 species
UGGAAAGAUGAAUCAAAGAAGGUAAUAAUCCUGUAGUCGAAAAUGUUGUCUCUCUUGAGUGGAUCCUGAGUACGACGGAGCACGUGAAAUUCCGUCGGAAUCUGGGAGGACCAUCUCCUAAGGCUAAAUACUCUCUAGUGACCGAUAGUGAACCAGUACCGUGAGGGAAAGGUGAAAAGCACCCCGGAAGGGGAGUGAAAUAGAACCUGAAACCGUGUGCUUACAAGUAGUCAGAGCCCGUUAAUGGGUGAUGGCGUGCCUUUUGUAGAAUGAACCGGCGAGUUACGAUUUGAUGCAAGGUUAAGCAGUAAAUGUGGAGCCGUAGCGAAAGCGAGUCUGAAUAGGGCGUUUAGUAUUUGGUCGUAGACCCGAAACCAGGUGAUCUACCCUUGGUCAGGUUGAAGUUCAGGUAACACUGAAUGGAGGACCGAACCGACUUACGUUGAAAAGUGAGCGGAUGAACUGAGGGUAGCGGAGAAAUUCCAAUCGAACCUGGAGAUAGCUGGUUCUCUCCGAAAUAGCUUUAGGGCUAGCCUCAAGUGAUGAUUAUUGGAGGUAGAGCACUGUUUGGACGAGGGGCCCCUCUCGGGUUACCGAAUUCAGACAAACUCCGAAUGCCAAUUAAUUUAACUUGGGAGUCAGAACAUGGGUGAUAAGGUCCGUGUUCGAAAGGGAAACAGCCCAGACCACCAGCUAAGGUCCCAAAAUAUAUGUUAAGUGGAAAAGGAUGUGGCGUUGCCCAGACAACUAGGAUGUUGGCUUAGAAGCAGCCAUCAUUUAAAGAGUGCGUAAUAGCUCACUAGUCGAGUGACACUGCGCCGAAAAUGUACCGGGGCUAAACAUAUUACCGAAGCUGUGGAUUGUCCUUUGGACAAUGGUAGGAGAGCGUUCUAAGGGCGUUGAAGCAUGAUCGUAAGGACAUGUGGAGCGCUUAGAAGUGAGAAUGCCGGUGUGAGUAGCGAAAGACGGGUGAGAAUCCCGUCCACCGAUUGACUAAGGUUUCCAGAGGAAGGCUCGUCCGCUCUGGGUUAGUCGGGUCCUAAGCUGAGGCCGACAGGCGUAGGCGAUGGAUAACAGGUUGAUAUUCCUGUACCACCUAUAAUCGUUUUAAUCGAUGGGGGGACGCAGUAGGAUAGGCGAAGCGUGCGAUUGGAUUGCACGUCUAAGCAGUAAGGCUGAGUAUUAGGCAAAUCCGGUACUCAUUAAGGCUGAGCUGUGAUGGGGAGAAGACAUUGUGUCUUCGAGUCGUUGAUUUCACACUGCCGAGAAAAGCCUCUAGAUAGAAAAUAGGUGCCCGUACCGCAAACCGACACAGGUAGUCAAGAUGAGAAUUCUAAGGUGAGCGAGCGAACUCUCGUUAAGGAACUCGGCAAAAUGACCCCGUAACUUCGGGAGAAGGGGUGCUCUUUAGGGUUAACGCCCAGAAGAGCCGCAGUGAAUAGGCCCAAGCGACUGUUUAUCAAAAACACAGGUCUCUGCUAAACCGUAAGGUGAUGUAUAGGGGCUGACGCCUGCCCGGUGCUGGAAGGUUAAGAGGAGUGGUUAGCUUCUGCGAAGCUACGAAUCGAAGCCCCAGUAAACGGCGGCCGUAACUAUAACGGUCCUAAGGUAGCGAAAUUCCUUGUCGGGUAAGUUCCGACCCGCACGAAAGGCGUAACGAUUUGGGCACUGUCUCAACGAGAGACUCGGUGAAAUCAUAGUACCUGUGAAGAUGCAGGUUACCCGCGACA